AAGAGACAUGAAGUUUUUGAACAGUGAACCUCAUUUUAUUGCUCAAGAUUGAAUGGUUAUCUGAGGUUUUAACUUCUUGAAUAUAUAAAUGAGGUUUUUUUUUACAAUGAAGCUUGUGUAUCUGCUGAUUUUGGUUUCUCUAUUAGCUCUGACAGAAAGAGUCCUGAUGCAAACUAACUGUCCACCUGGAUACACUAUAGAUGGAAGACAGUGUAUAGAUGAGAAUGAGUGUGAAUAUGAAGAUGAUGAAAAGCCAAUCUGUGGAGAUAAUGCAGAUUGCUACAACACUAUAGGUAACUACUACUGUCAAUGUCAAAAAGGAUUUAAUCCAUCUGGAAACUUUACACAGAAGAAUUCAACAAAAU